rnacentral:rRNA from 1 species
GAUGAACGCUAGCGGCAGGCUUAAUACAUGCAAGUCGUGGGGCGGCAGGUUUGUAGCAAUACAGAUGCUGGCGACCGGCAAACGGGUGCGGAACACGUACAGAACCUUCCUUGAGCGGGGAAUAGCCCAGAGAAAUUUGGAUUAAUACCCCAUAGUAUAAUGAAGUGGCAUCACUUUAUAUUAAAGAUUUAUCACUCGAAGAUGGCUGUGCGGCUGAUUAGGUAGUUGGCGGGGUAAAGCCCACCAAGCCUGCGAUCAGUAACUGGUGUGAGAGCACGACCAGUCACACGGGCACUGAGACACGGGCCCGAUCCUACGGGAGCAGCAGUAAGGAAUAUUGGUCAAUGGA